rnacentral:snRNA from 1 species
AUUCAUUCCUGAACAUAUACUAAAAUUGGAACAAUACAGAGAAGAUUAGUAUGGCCCCGCGCAAGGAUGACACGCAAAUUCGUGAAAAAAAGAUAUAUAU